UACACAAGAAAGCACGCAAGCGCAACAAUUAUCCAGUAGGCUGGGGACUGAAGAAAAUUACCAACCGCCUUGCCAAAUAAUAAUAGUAAGCGGCAGGUUUUAGGUUAAAGGACGCCAAGGGGCUGCGGCGUUAUCCUCGCUCGCUCCCUGCCCCCCUUCUCCGUGACGUCCAACUCCUCUUGCUCGCUCUCAGUAGUCUUUUCGCUACCCGAAGGCACCGAGUAAGAAGGGUGCGCGAGAGAGAGAGGAAGAGAGAGACGGGCCAUGUCGUCGUCGACCAACAUAUGGGUUCUCCUCGGGCUGGGCCUCGCUGGCGUCCUUCUCAUGACCCGGCGGCUGAAGCGAGCCAUCAAGCAGGAUUUCGGGGCUUUCGUCGAGCGGUUGGAGCUCCUCCCUCCCCCUCAGCCCGCCCCUCCCAAGGCCCCCCAUCCUUUGACCGGCCUCUCCUUCGCCGUCGCCGACAUAUUCGAUAUCAAUGGAUGUGUAACUGGGUUCGGCAAUCCAGACUGGGCAAAAACUCAUGAUCCUGCAGCACGGACAUCUUCUGUGGUUUCAGCUCUCGUAGAUGGGGGUGCUACUUGUGUUGGAAAAACGGUGAUUGAUGAGAUGGCUUAUAGUAUCAAUGGUGAAAACAAACAUUUUGGUACACCAACAAAUCCUGCAGCUCUUGAGCGAAUACCUGGAGGAUGCUCGAGUGGAUCAGCUGUAGCUGUUGCUAGUGGUCUAGUUGAUUUCUCCUUGGGUGUUGAUACUAUUGGUGGUGUGAGGAUACCUGGGGGAUUUUGUGGUAUAUUAGCAUUCCGACCUUCACAUGCUGCUGUUUCAAAUAUUGGUGUUAUUCCGGUCUCACCAAGUCUUGACACUGUAGGAUUAUUUGCUAAGGAUCCCAGUAUCUUGCGUCGUGUAUCUCAUAUCCUGCUUCAACUUCCAUAUGCUGAUCACCGCCAGCCUAGACAUAUGAUUAUAGCAGAUGAUUGUUUUGAACUAUUAAAGAUUCCAAAGAGCAGGGUGACUCAGGUGGUGAUCAAAUCUACAGAGAAGCUGUUUGGAAGGCAACUUUUAAACCAUGUAAAUUUAGGAGAGUAUCUGGCUUCUAAGAUUUCCAGCUUGAAACAACUUCAAAAUGGGAAGAAAAGUGGUGAUUCAAAGGCUGCAUUAUUAUCACUUGCAAAUGCUAUGCGGCUGCUUUACAAGCGUGAGUUCAAAAAUAAUCAUGAGAGGUGGAUCAACUCUGUUAAGCCUGUCCUUGAUCCUUCUAUAUUAGCAGACAUUAGUAGCUCAUUGGAUGAUAGUGAUGCACAUAUUGAAUACUGCCACUAUGCAAGAAAUGAAACACGCUUGGCCCUUAAUGCUCUUCUAAAGGAUGAUGGAAUAAUUGUUCUUCCCACAGUAUUAGGAGCUCCUCCAAAACUUAAUGCAAAGGAAAUUUCAUCAGAGGACUACCAGUCUCAUACAUUAUGUCUAUCGGCUAUUGCUAGCAUGUCAGGUUGUUGUCAGGUGACCAUACCUAUAGGGUACCAUGAAAAGUGUCCUGUGUCUGUAUCCUUUAUUGCAAGGCAUGGAGGAGAUCGCUUUUUACUAGAUACUGUCCAGACUAUGUUUGCCUCUCUUCAAGAGCAAGUUGAUGAAGUUAUGAAGUCCAAAUCGUCAAGCAGUAGCAUCAGCAAGGAAGAAUCUGCGGAAAUUGCAAAAGAGAAAGGUAACAUUGCUUACAAAGAAAAACAAUGGCAGAAAGCUGUUAAUCUGUAUACUGAAGCAAUCAAACUGAGUGAAAAGAAUGCAACAUAUUAUAGCAAUAGGGCUGCUGCAUAUCUGGAACUUGGAAGUUACCUUCAAGCUGAAGCUGAUUGCAGCGCUGCCAUAAGCCUUGAUAAAAAGCAUAUCAGGGUGAUUAGAGUUCAAAUUCAUGCCAUGAUUAUACUGUGAUUCUUCUGUAGAGUGAGCUUCGGCUAAUGAAAGAAUGUCAAAGCUUAUUUGCGAAGAGGUACUGCACGUGAAAUGUUGGGCUAUUACAAAGAGGCAAUUGAAGAUUUCAAAUAUGCACUUGUCUUGGAGCCAACCAACAAGACGGCACUCCUUGCCGCUAGUAGAUUAAAGAAGCUAUUCCAGUAGAUAGCACACUAGCAAUUUGUCGAAGGUGCAAAUCACCUGUUCAAUAUUUCAUCUUCGAAGAUGGUAGAUUCGACCCGUAUAGAUACAUUUUGAAGAUUUGGGCAGCACCUCAUAAGAGUACCGAUCACUAGAAUUUGCAGGCGUCCCGAUUGCUCACCAUCUGUCACGCUGAAGUUCUCAACUUGUUUACAGAAUCAAUGGUUCUUAAUAUUGCCCCUUCGUAGUAUAAGACUAUGCUUAGUCCAGUUUUGUUACGCACCUUAUAUCAAAUAUCAGAUGUCGUUUUCAUUUUACCGUAUAUGCCCGCUAUUUUUUUUUUUGAAUUGUACUAUAAGAUGAUCAUUUAUUGCACUGAUGGGGAGUGGUAUUUUGGAAUAAAAUUACAUAGUUUGGGAGGUGUGCUAUCAA